rnacentral:rRNA from 1 species
AGGAUUAACGCUGGCGGCGUGCCUAACACAUGCAAGUCGAACGAGGUAGCAAUACCUAGUGGCAGACGGGUGAGUAACGCGUGGUCAACCUACCGUUGAGUGGGGGAUAACUAGCCGAAAGGUUAGCUAAUACCGCAUACGAGUCUCGGGGGCAUCCCUGGGCCAUAAAAGGAGCAAUCCGCUCGAUGACGGGACCGCGUCCCAUUAGCUAGAUGGUGGGGUAACGCCUACCAUGGCACCGAUGGGUAGCUGGUUUGAGAGAGCGACCAGCCACACUGGGACUGAGAAACGGCCCAGACUCCUACGGGAGGCAGCAGUGAGGAAUUUUCCGCAAUGGGCGAAAGCCUGACGGAGCGACGCCGCGUGUGGGAAGAAGGCCUUCGGGUCGUAAACCACUGUCGAAGGGGACGAUAAUGACGGUACCCUUGGAGGAAGCCCGGCUAACUACGUGCCAGCAGCCGC